UUGAUCCUGCCGGACCUGACUGCUAUCGGAUUGAUACUAAGCCAUGCGAGUCAUUGUAGCAAUGCAAGGCAGACGGCUCAGUAACGCGUAGUCAACCUACCCUAUGGACGGGAAUAAUCUCGGGAAACUGAGGAUAAUUCCAGAUAGAACACUAUGCCUGGAACGGUUUGUGUUCCAAAUGAUUUAUCGCCAUAGGAUGGGACUGCGGCCUAUCAGUUUGUUGGUGAGGUAAUGGCCCACCAAGACUAUUACAGGUACGGGCUCUGAGAGGAGUAGCCCGGAGAUGGGUACUGAGACACGGACCCAGGCCCUAUGGGGCGCAGCAGGCGAGAAAACUUUGCAAUGUGCGAAAGCACGACAAGGUUAAUCCGAGUGGUUCCUGCUAAAGGAACCUUUUGACGGUCCUAAAAACACCGUUGAAUAAGGGGUGGGCAAGUUCUGGUGUCAGCCGCCGCGGUAAAACCAGCACCUCAAGUGGUCAGGAUGAUUAUUGGGCCUAAAGCAUCCGUAGCCGGCUCUGUUAGUUUUCGGUUAAAUCUGUACGCUCAACGUACAGGCUGCCGGGAAUACUACAGAGCUAGGGAGUGAGAGAGGUAGACGGUACUUGGUAGGAAGGGGUAAAAUCCUUUGAUCUAUUGAUGACCACCUGUGGCGAAGGCGGUCUACUAGAACACGUCCAACGGUGAGGGAUGAAAGCUGGGGGAGCAAACCGGAUUAGAUACCCGGGUAGUCCCAGCUGUAAACCAUGCAAACUCAAUGAUGCACUGGCUUGAAGCCAAUGCAGUGUUGCAGGGAAGCCGUUAAGUUUGCCGCCUGGGAAGUACGUACGCAAGUAUGAAACUUAAAGGAAUUGGCGGGGGAGCACCACAAGGGGUGAAGCCUGCGGUUC
rnacentral:rRNA from 1 species